GGGCCCAUGAGAUGGGAGGC
rnacentral:siRNA from 1 species